AGCACUCGAAGCCUAAUGCUUUUGAAAUUUUACGUUUUGCUUUGAAAAUGAUUUUCGCUGGAGUCAAGCUUUAAAAUAUGAAAGCAUUGUUUUAGCAGAUUUUUAAAUUGAAAUCAAUUUGAAUAUCUUGAACCUAAUGUUUUAAAUUUGCUCAAACAAAGAAACAUGGUAAAAUUUGCGUUGGUUUUAAUUUUUUAUAAUGUUAAGUGUAAGUUAUAAAGGAUUUUGGAGCUUAAAACCUCAAACUUUGUUUCUGAACAAUUCUAGGCGUAAAAACCAUUCACACAAUUAUUGGACGAUUUUAAUUUUUUGUUGUGUUUCAUACUUAUUUGCUUUUAGAUACAUUUUUAGGUGCGCUAAGGAUGUUGAGGAAUCACAUAAAAAUAAUCUUCAUAUUUGGAUAUUGUUUGUGAAGUUGUUAUUGGUGCUUGAUGUGAUUAAUUAUGUGCUAAAUUGCUUUAGAAAUUUAUAUGGGCAGGACUCGAAGCCUAAUGCUUUUGAAAUUUUAUGUUUUACUUUAAAAAUUAUUUUCACUGGUAUGAAGCUUUAAAAUAUGAAAGCAUUGUUUUAGCAGGUUUUCUAAAUGGGAAUGAAUUUGAAUAUCUUGAAUCCAAUGUUUUAAACUUAGUCAAACAAAGAAACAUGGUAAAACUUGCAUUAGUUUUAGUUUUUCAUAAUAUUAAGUGUAAGUUAUAUAAAGAAUUUUGGAGCUUAAAACCUCAGACUUUGUUUCUGAACAAUUCUGGGUGUAAAAACCAUUCGCACAAUUAUUGCAUUAUUUUAAUUUUUCAUUGUGUUUCAUAAAUAUUCGCUUUUAGAUACAUUUUUAGGUGCUGUAAGGAUGUUGAGGAAUUACAUAUGAAUAAUCUUCAUAUUUGGAUAUUAUUAGUGAAGUUGUUAUUGGUGCCUGAUGUGACUAAUUAUGUGCUAAAUUGUUUUAGAAGUUUAUAUGCUGACGACUUGAAGUCUAAUGCUUUUGAAAUUUUAUGUUUUGCUUUGAAAAUGAUUUUCACUGGUAUCAAGCUUUAAAAUAUGAAAUCAUUGUUUUAUCUGGUUUUUAAAUGGAAAUGAAUUUGAAUAUGUUGAAUCCAAUGUUUUAAACUUGCUCAAACAAAGAAACAUGGUAAAGCUUGCAUUUGUUUUUAUUUUUCAUAAUGUUAAGUGUAAGUUAUAAUGGAUUUUGGAGCCUAAAACGUCAGACUUUGUUUCUGAAUAAUUCUGGGCUUAAAAACCAUUUGCAUAAUUAUUGCGCAAUUUUAAUUUUUCGUUAUGUUUCAUACUUAUUUGAUUUUAGAUACAUUUUUAGGUGCUCUAAGGAUGUUGAGGGAUUACAUAUGAAUAAUCUUCAUAUUUGGAUAUUAUUUGUGAGUUGUUAUUGGUACCUGAUGUGACUAAUUAUGUGCUAAAUUAUUUUAGAAGUUUAUAUGCUGACGACUUGGAGUCUAAUGCUUUUGAAAUUUUUUUCUUUUGCUUUGAAAAUGAUUUUCACUGAUAUUAAGCUUUAAAAUAUGAAAGCAUUGUUUUAGCAGGUUUUUAAAUGCAAAUGAAUUUGAAUAUCUUGAAUCCAAUGUUUUCAACUUGGUCAAAUAAGGAAAAAUGGUAAAACUUGCAUUGGUUGUAAUUUUUCAUUGUGUUAAGUGUAAGUUAUAAAGGACUUUGUUUCUGCACAAUUCUGGGCUUAAAAAGCAUUCGCACAAUUAUUGCAUGAUUUUAGUUUUUCAUUGUGUUUCAUACUUAUUUGCUUUUAGAUACAUUUUUAGGUGGUCUAAGGAUGUUGAGGAAUUACAUAUGAAUGAUCUUCGUAUUUGGAUAUUGUUUGUGAAGUCGUCAUUGGUGCUUGAUUUGAUUAAUUAUGUGCUAAAUUAUUUUAGCUGUUUAUAGGGGGAGCACUCGAAGCCUAAAGCUUUUGAAAUUUUUUGUUUUGCUUUGAAAAUGAUUUUCACUGAUAUCAAGCUUUAAAAUAUGGAAAGCAUUGUUUUAGCAGGUUUUUAAAUGGAAAUGAAUUUGAAUAUCUUGAAUCCAAUGUUUUAAACUUGCUAAAACAAAAAAACGUGGUAAAACUUGCAUUUGUUUUAAUUUUUCAUAAUAUUAAGUGUGAGUUAUAAAGAAUUUUGGAGCUUAAAACAUCAGACUUUGUUUCUGAACAAUUCUGGGCAUAAAAACCAUUCGCAUAAUUAUUGCACAAUUUUAAUUUUUCGUUGUGUUUCAUACUUAUUUGAUUUUAGAUACAUUUUUAGGUGCUGUAAGGAUGUUGAGGGAUUACAUAUGAAUAAUCUUCAUAUUUGGAUAUUAUUUGUGAGUUGUUAUUGGUGCUUGAUAUGAUUAAUUAUGUGCUAAAUUAUUUUAGAAGUUUAUAUGAGGACGACUUGAAGUCUAAUGCUUUUGAAAUUUUUUCUUUUGCUUUGAAAAUGAUUUUCACCGAUAUCAAGCUUUAAAAUAUGAAAGCAUUGUUUUAGCAGGUUUUUAAAUGCAAAUGAGUUUGAAUAUCUUGAAUCCAAUGUUUUAAACUUGGUCAAAUAAAGAAAAAUGGUAAAACUUGCAUUGGUUGUAAUUUUUCAUUGUGUUAAGUGUAAGUUAUAACGGAUUUUGGAGCUUAAAACAUCAGACUUUGUUUCUACACAAUUUUUGGCUUAAAAAGCAUUCGCACAAUUAUUUCAUGAUUUUAGUUUUUCAUUGUGUUUCAUACUUAUUUGCUUUUAGAUACUUUUUUAGGUGGUCUAAAGAUGUUGAAAAAUUACAUAUGAAUGAUCUUCGUAUUUGGAUAUUAUUUGUGAAGUUGUCAUUGGUGCUUGAUUUGAUUAAUUAUGUUCUAAAUUAGUUUAGCUGUUUAUAGAGGGAGCACUCGAAGCCUAAUGCUUUUUGAAAUUUGUUUGUUUUGCUUUGAAAAUGAUUUUCACUUAUAUCAGCUUUAAAAUAUGAAAGCAUUGUUUUAGCAGGUUUUUAAAUGGAAAUGAAUUUGAAUAUCUUGAAUCCAAUGUUUUAAACUUGCUCAAACAAAAAAACAUGGUAAAACUUGCGUUUGUUUUAAUUUUUCAUAAUGUUAAGGGUAAGUUAUAAAGGAUUUUAGAGCUCAAAACAUCAGACUUUAUUUCUAAAUAAUUCUGGGCGUAAAAGCUAUUCACACAAUUAUUUGAUUUUAGAUGCAUUUUUAUGUGCUUUAAGGAUGUUGAGGGAUUACAUAUGAAUAAUCUUCAUAUUUGGAUAUUAUUUGUGAGUUGUUAUUGGUGCUUGAUCUGAUUAAUUAUGUGCUAAAUUGUUUUAGAAGUUUAUAUGGGGACGACUUGAAGUCUAAUGCUUUUGAAAUUUUUUCUGUUGCUUUGAAAAUGAUUUUCACUGAUAUCAAGCUUUAAAAUAUGAAAGCAUUGUUUUAGCAGGUUUUUAAAUGUAAAUUAAUUUGAAUAUCUUGAAUCCAAUGUUUUAAACUUGGUCAAACAAAGAAACAUUGUAAAACUUAGGUUGGUUUUAAUUUUUCACAGCAUUAAGUGUAAGUUAUAAAGAAUUUUGGAGCUUGAAACAUCAAACUUUGUUUUUGAACAAAUCUAUCAUAAAAACCAUUCGCACAAUUUCAAAUUGUGACUUAAAAACCAUUUUUGCAUUUUUUUUAAUUUACCAUUGCGUUUCAUACUUAUUUGCUUUUAGAUACUUUUUUAGGUGCUCUAAGGAACUUGUGGGAUUACAUAAGAAUGAUCUUGAUAUUUGGAUAUUAUUUACGAAGUUGUUAUUGGUGCUUGAUGUGAUUGAUUGUGUGCUAACUUGUUUUAGCAGUUUAUAAGAGAAGUGCUUGAAGGAUAAUUUUUUUGAAAUUUUAUGUUUUGCUUUAAAAAUAAUUUUUCGCUCGAGUCCAGCUUCAAAAUAUGAAAGCAUUAUUUUGCCAGGUUUGAAAUCGAAAUUAAUUUGAAUAUCUUGAAUUAAAUGUGCUUAACAUGCUCAAAGAAAGAAACAUGGUAAGACUUGCGUUGGUUUUAAUUUUUCACAGCGUUAGGUGUAAGUUAUAAAGAAUUUUGGAGCUUAAAACAUCAGACUUUGUUUUUGAACAAAUUUGGCAUAAAAACCAUUCGCACAAUUUCAAAUUGUGACUAAAAAACAUUUUUGCUUGAUUUUAAUUUAUCACUGCGUUUCAUACUUAUUUGCUUUUAGAUACAUUUUUAGGUGCUCUAAGGAACUUGUGGGAUCUUGAUAUUUGGAUAUUAUUUGUGAAGUUGUUAUUGGUGCUUGUUGUGAUUAAUUGUGUGCUAAAUUGUUUUAGUAGUUUAUAAGAGAAUCACUUGAAGCCUAAUGCUUCUGAAAUUUUAUGUUUUGUUUUGAAAAUGAUUUUGAUUGGUGUUAAGCUUUAAAAUAAGAAAGCAUUGUUUGAGCAGGUUUUUAAAUGGCAAUGAAUUUGAAUAUCUUGAAUCCAAUGUUUUAAACUUGCUUAAACAAUGAAACAUGGUAAAACUUGCAUUGGUUGUAAUUUUUUGUAAUGUUAAGUGUAAGUCAUAAAGGAUUUUGGAGCUUAAAACAUCAGACUUUGUUUCUGAAAAUUCUGGGCUUAAAAAUCAUUCGCACAAUUAUUGCACGAUUUUAAAACAUCAUACUUAUUUGCUUUUAGAUACAAUUUUGGGUGGUCUAAGGAUGUUGAGGAAUUACAUAUGAAUGAUCUUCAUAUUUGGAUAUUAUUUGUGAAGUUGUUAUUGGCACUUGAUGUUAUUAAUUGUGUGCUAACAUGUUUUAGCUCUUAACAGAGGGAUCUGUCGAAGCAAAUGCUUUUGAAAUUUUAUGUUUUGCUUUGAAAAAGAUUUUCGCUAGAGUUGAGCUUUAAAAUAUGAAAGCAUUGUUUUAGCAAGUUUUUAAAUUGAAAUGAAUUUGAAUAUCUUGAAUCCAAUGUCUUAAACUUGUUCAAACAAAGAAACAAGGUAAAACUUACAUUGGUUUUUAUUUUUCCCAAUGUUAAGUGUAGUUUAUAAAGGAUUUUCUAGGUUAAAACGUCAGACAUAGUUUUUGAACAAUUUUGGGCAUAAAAGCUAUUCGCACAAUUUCAAAUUAUGACAUACGAACCUUUUUUGCACGAUUUUAGUUUUUUAUUCUAUUUCAUACUUAUUUGCUUUUAUAUACAUUUUUAGGUGCUCUAAGUAACUUGUGGGAUUACAUAAGAAUGAUCUUGAUAUUUGGAUAUUAUUUGAGAAGUUUUUUUGGUGCUUGAUGUGGUUGAUUGUGUGCUGACUUGUUUUAGCAGUUUAUAAGAGAAGUGAGCGAAAUAUAAUUUUUUUGAAAUUUUAUGUUUUGCUUUAAAAAUAACUUUCUCUCUAGUGUAGCUUUAAAAUAUGAAAGCAUUAUUUUGCCAGGUUUGAAAUGGAAAUGAAUUUGAAUAUCUUGAAUCAAAAGUGUUAAACAUGCUCAAAAAAAGAAACAUGGUAAAACUUGCGUUGGUUUUAAUUUUUCACAGCGUUAACUGUAAGUUAUAAAGAAUUUUGGAGCUUAAAACAUCAGACUUUAUUUUUUAACAAAUUUGGCGUAAAAACCAUUCGCACAAUUUCAAAUUGUGACUAAAAAACAUUUUUGCAUGAUUUUAAUUUAUCAUUGCGUUUCAUACUUAUUUGCUUUUAGAUACAUUUUAAGGUGCUCUAAGGAACUUGUGGGAUUACUUAUGAAGGAUCUUGAUAUUUGGAUAUUAUUUGUGAAGUUGUUAUUGGUGCUUGUUGUGAUUAAUUGUGUGCUAAAUUGUUUUAGCAGUUUAUAAGAGGAGCACUCGAAGACUAAUGCUUUUGAAAUUUUAUAUUUUGGUUUGAAAAUAAUUUUCACUGCAAUCAAGCUUUAAAAUAAGAGUGCAUUGUUUUAGCUGGUUUUUAAAUGCAAAUGAAUUCCAAAAUCUUGAAUCUUAUGUUUUAAACUUGCUCAAACAAAGAAACAUAGUAAAACUUGCAUUGGUUUUAAUUUUUCAUAAGUUAAGUUUAUGUUAUAAUGGAUUUUGGAGAUUAAAACAUCAGACUUUGUUUCUGAACAAUUCUGGUCUUAAAAACCAUUCGCACAAUUAUUGCACAAUUUUAAUUUUUUUGUUGCGUUUCAAACUUAUUUGCUUUUAGAUACCAAUUUAGGUGCUCUAAGAAUGUUGAGGAAUUACAUAUGAAUAAUAUUCAUAUUUGGAUAUUAUUUGUAAAGUUGUUAUUGGUGCUUGAUGUGAUUAAUUAUGUGCUUUUGAAAAAUUAUGUUUUACUUUGAAAAUGCCUUUGAAAUUUUAUGUUUUUCUUCAAAUAUAAUUUUAUCUAGUGUCAAGCUUUAAAAUAUGAAAGAAUUGUUUUAGAUGGUUUUUAAAUGGAAAUGAAUUUGAAUAUAAUGAAUCCAAUGUUUUAAACUUCCUCAAACAAUGAAACAAGGUAAAACUAGCAAUGGUUUUUAAUUUUUCACAGCGUUCAGUGCAACUUAGAAAGGAUUUUGAAGCUUAAAAUACCAGACUUUGUUUUCAAAAAAGUUUUUGCAUGAUUUUAAUUUUUUGUUGUAUUUGCUUUUAGAUGCUUUUUUAGGUGGUCUAAUGAACUUGUGGGAUUACAUAUUAAUGAUGUUGAUAUUUGGAUAUUAUUUGUGAAGUUCUUAUUAGUGCUUAAUGUAAUUAAUUGUGUGCUAACUUGUUUUAGUAAUUUAUAGAAGCAGCACUCGAAGCCUAAUGGUUUUGAAAUUUUAAAAUUUGCUUUGAAAAUGAUUUUCGUUGGAGUGGAGCUUUAAAAUAUGAAAGUAAUGUUUUAGCAAGUUUUUAAAUGAAAAUGAAUUUGAAUAUCUUGGAUCCAAUGUUUUUAAACUUGCUUAAACAAAUAAACAUGUUAAACUUGCAUUGGUUUUAAUUAAUUAUGGAGUUAAGUGUAAGUAUUUGUGAAGUUGUUAUUGUUGCUUGAUGUGAUUAAUUGUGUGCUAACUUGUUUUAGCAGUAUAUAGAGGGAGCACUUGAAGCCUAAUUCUUUGGAAAUUUGAUGUUUUGCUUCCAAAAUGAUUGUUGCUGAGGUCAAGUAUUAAAAUAUGGAGGCAUUUUUUAGCAGAUUUUUAAAUGGAAAUGAAUUUGAAUAUCUUAAAUCGAUUCUUUUAAACGUGCUUAAAAAAGAAACAUGGUAAAACAUGCUUUAGUUUUCAUUUUUCACAGUGUCAAGUGUAAGUUAUAAAGGAUUUUAGAGCUUAAAACAUCAGACUAUGUUUGUGAAUAAUUCUAGGCAUAAAAAAAAUUCGCAAAAUUUCAAAUUGUGACAUAAAAAACAUUUUUGCAUGAUUUUAAUUUUUCAAUGUGUUUCACACUUUUAGAUGCUUUAAGGAGCUUUUGGGGCAACAUAUGAAUGAUAUUGAUAUUUGGACAUUAUUUGUGAAGUCGUUAUUGGUGCUUGAUGUGAUUAAUUUUGUGCUAACAUGCAUUAGCUGUUAAAUUGAGUUGAGCUUUAAAAUAUGAAAGCAAUGUUUUAGCAAGUUUUUAAAUAGAAAUGAAUUUGAACAUCUUGAAUCCAAUGUUUUAAACUUGCUCAAACAAAGAAACGUGGUAAAACUUGCAUUGGUUUUAAUUUUUCAUAGUGUUAAGUGUAAGUUAUAAAGGAUUUUGAAGCUUAAAACAUCAAACUUUGUUUCUGAACAAUUCUGGGCGUAAAACAAUGUGCAAAAUUUUAAAAUUGUGGCAUAAUCUUCAUAUCUGUAUAUUAUUUGUGAAGUUGUUAUUGGUGCUCGAUGUGAUUAAUUAUGUUUUAAAUUGUUUUAGCAGUUUAUAGGGGGAGCACUCGAAACCUAAUGCUUUUGAAAUUUUAUGUUUUGCUUUGAAAAUGAUUUUCAUAUCUGUAUAUUAUUUGUGAAGUUGUUAUUAUUUGUGAAUUACAUAUGAAUAAUCUUCAUAUCUCUAAAAAUGUUGAGGAAUUACAUACGAAUAAUCUUCAUAUCUGUAUAUUAUUUGUGAAGUUGUUAUUGGUGCUCGAUGUGAUUAAUUAUGUGUUAAAUUAUUUUAGCAGUUUAUAGGGGGAGCACUCGAAACCUAAAGCUUUUGAAAUUUUAUAUUUUUCUUUGAAAAUGAUUUUAACUGGAGUUGAGCUUUAAAAUAUGAAAGCAUUAUUUUAGUAGGUUUUUAAAUAGAAGUUAAUUUGAAUAUCUUGAAUCUAAUGUUUUAAACUUGCUCAAACAAUGAAACAUGGUAAAACUUGCAUUAGUUUUAAUUUUUUAUAAUGUUAACCGUAAGUUAUGAAGGAUUUUCGAGCUGAAAACAUAAGACUUUGUUUCUGAACAAUUCUUUGAGUAAAACCAUUCGCACAAUUAUUGCACGAUUUUAAUUUUUCGUUGUGUUUCAUACUUAUUUGCAUUUAGAUACAUUUUUAGGUGCUCUAAUGAACUUGUGGGAUUACAUAUUAAUGAUGUUGAUAUUUGAAUAUUAUUUGUGAAGUUCUUAUUAGUGCUUACUGUAAUUAAUUGUGUGCUAACUUGUUUCAGCAAUUUAUAGAAGCAGCACUCGAAGCGAAAAUGAUUUUCACUGUAGUCAAGCUUUCAAAUAUUAAAGCAUUGUUUUAGCAGGUUUUUAAAUGGAAAUGAAUUUGAAUAUCUUGAAUCUAAUGUUUUCAAUUGCUCAAACAAAGAAACAUGGUAAAACUUGCAUUGGUUUCAAUUUUCUAUAAUGUUAAGUGUAAGUUAUAAAGUAUUUUGGAGCUUAAAAUAUCAGACUUUGUUUCUGAACAACUCUGGGCGUAAAAACAAUGCGCACAAUUAUUGCUAGAUUUUAAUUUUUCGUUGUGUUUGACCCUUAUUUGCUUUUAGAUACAUUUUUAGGUGCUCUAAGGAUGUUGAGAAAUUACAUAUGAAUAAUAUUCAUAUUUGGAUAUUAUUUUUGAAGUUGUUAUUGGUGCUUGAUGUGAUUAAUUGCGUGCUAAAUUGUCUUAGAAGUCUAUAUGGGGAGGACUUGAAGCCUAAUACUUUUGAAAUUUUAUGUUUUGCUUUGAAAAUGAUUUUUGCUGGAGUUGGGCUUUAAAAUUUGAAAGCAUUGUUUUAACAAGUUUUUAAAUGGAAAUGAAUUUGAAUAUCUUGAGUCUAAUGUUUUCAGUUGCGCAAACAAAGAAACAUGGUAAAACUUGCAUUGGUUUUAAUUUUUGAUAAUGUUAAGUGUAAGUUAUAAAAGAUUUUGGAGCUUAAAACAUUAGACAUAGUUUUUGAACAAUUCUGGGCAUAAAAGCUAUUUGCACAAUUUCAAAUUGUGACAUAAGAACCUUUUUUGCACGAUUUUAAUUUUUUCCUGUAUUUCAUACUUAUUUGCUUUUAGAUACAUUUUUAGGUGCUCUAAAGAACUUGUGAGAUUACAUAAGAAUGAUCUUGAUAUUUGGAUAUAUUUGUGAAGUUGUUAUUGGUGCUUGAUGUGAUUAAUUGUGUGCUAACUUGUUUUAACAGUUUAUAAGGGAAGUGCUCGAAGGAUAUUUUUUUGGAAAUUUUAUGUUUUGCUUUAAAAAUCAUGUUCGCUCGAGUUCAGCUUUAAAAUAUGAAACCAUUAUUUUGCCAGGUUUGAAAUGGAAAUGAAUUUGAAUAUCUUGAAUCAAAUGUGUUAAACAUGCUCAAACAAAGAAACAUGGUAAAACUUGCAUUGGCUUUAAUUUUUCAUAGCGUUAGUGUAAGUUAUAAAGAAUUUUGGAGCUUAAAACAUCAGAUUUUGUUUUUGAACAAAUCUAGCAUAAAAACCACUCGCACAAUUCAAAUUGUGACUUAAAAACCAUUUUUGCAUGAUUUUUAAUUUAUCGUUGCGUUUCGUACUUAUUUGCUCUUAGAUACAUUUUUAGGUGCUGUAAGGAACAUGUGGGAUUACUUAUGAAGUAUCUUGAUAUUUGGAUACUUGUUGUGAUUAAUUGUGUGCUAAAUUGUUUUAGCAGUUUAUAAGAGGAGCACUCGAAGCCUAAUGCUUUUGAAAUGUUAUGUUUUGCUUUGAAAAUGAUUUUCACUAGAGUAAAGCUUUAAAAUAAGAAAGUAUUGUUUAGCAGGUUUUUAAAAGCAAAUGAAUUUGAAAAUCUUGAAUCCAAUGUUUUUUUAAACUUGGUGAAACAAAGAAACAUAUAAAACUUGCAUUAGUUUUAAUUUUUAAUGGUGUUAUGUGUAAGUUAUAAAGGAUUUUGGAGCUUAAAAUGUCAGACUUUGUUUCUGAAAAAAUUUGGGCAUAAAAAUCGUUCGCAAAAUUAUUACACAAUUUUAAUUUUUCAUUGUGUUUCAUACUUAUUUUCUGUUAAAUACAAUUUUAGGUGCUCUAAGGAAGUUUAGGAAUUACAUAUGAACUAUCUUCAUAUUUGGAUAUUAUUUGUUUAGUUGUUAUUGGGGCUUGAUGUGAUUAAUUGUGUGCCAAAUUGUUUUAGCAGUUUAUAGGUGGAGCACUCGAAGCCUAAUGCCUUUGAAUUUUAUGUUUUGCUUUGAAAAUGAUUUUCACUGUAUUUAAGCUUUAAAAUAUGAAUGCAUUGUUUUAGCAGGUUUUUAAAUGGAAAUGAAUUUGAAUAUCUUGAAUCCAAUGUUUUAAACAUGGUAAAACUUGCCUUGGUUUUAAUUCUCAUAGUGUUAAGUGUAAGUUAUAAAGGAUUUUGAAGCUUAAAACAUCAGACUUUAUUUCUAAACAAUUAUGGGCAUAAAACCAUUUGCAAAAUUUCAAAUUUGUGGCAUAAAAGCCAUUUUUGCAUGAUUUUAAUUUUUCGUUUUGUUUCAUACUUAUUCCUUUUAGAUACAUUUUUAGGUGCUCUAAGGAACUUGUGAGAUUACAUUUGGAUGAUCUUGAUAUUUGGAUAUUAUUUGUGAAGUUGUUAUUGGUGCUUGAAGUGAUUAGUUGUUUGCUGACUUGUUUUAGCAGUUUAUAGGAGAAGCACUCAAAGCCUAAUGCUUUGGAAUUUUAUGUUUUCCUUCGAAUAUGAUUUUCUCUAAUGUGAAGUUUUAAAAUAUGAAAGAAUUGUUUUAGAAGGUUUUUAAAUGGAAAUGAAUUUGAAUAUAAUGAAUCCAAUGUUUUAAACUUGCUCAAACCAUGAAACAAGGUAAAACUAGCUUUGGUUUUUAAUUUUUCACAGUGUUAAGUGCAACUUAGAAAGGAUUUUGAAGCUUAAAAUAUCAGACUUUAUUUUCGAACAUUUUUUGCAUGAUUUUAAUUUUUUGUUGCGUUUCAUACUUAUUUGCUUUUAGAUACAUUUUUAGGUGCUCUAAGGAACUUGUGGGAUUAGAUAUUAAUGAUGUUGAUAUUUGGAUAUUAUCUGUGAAGUUGUUAUUAGUGCUUAAUGUAAUUAAUUGUGUGCUAACUUGUUAUAGCAAUUUAUAGAAGCAGCACUCGAACCCUAAUGGUUUUGAAAUUUUAAAUUUCACUUUGAAAAUGAUUUUCGCUGGAGUGUGGCUUUAAAAUAUGAAAGCAGUGUUUUAGCAGGUUUUUAACUGGAAAUGAAUUUGAAUAUCUUGAAUCGAAUGUUUUUCGACUUGCUUAAACAAAUAGACAUGUUAAACUUGCAUUAGUUUUAAUUUUUCAUAGAGUUGUUAUUGUUGCUUGUUGUGAUUAAUUGUGUGCUAACUUGUUUUAGCAGUAUAUAGAAGGAGCACUUGAAGCCUAAUUCUUUAGAAAUUUUGUGUUUUGCUUUGAAAAUGAUUGUCACUGAAGUCAAGUAUUAAAUAUGGAAGGAUUGUUUUAGCAGGUUUUAAAAUGGAAAUGAAUUUGAAAUAUCUUGAAUCUAUUGUUUUAAACGUGCUUGAACAAAGAAACAUGGUAAAACAUGCAUUGGUUUUAAUUUUUCACAGUGUCAAGUGUAAGUUAUAAAUGAUUUUAGAGCUUAAAACAUCAGACUUUGUUUUUGAAUAAUUCUAGGCAUAAAAAAAAUUCGCACAAUUUGAAAUUGUGACAUAAAAAACAUUUUGGCAUGAUUUUAAUUUUUCGUUGUGUUUCACACUUAUAUGCUUUUAGAUACAUUUUUAGAUGCUUUAAGGAACUUUUGGGACAACAUAUGAGUGAUGUUGAUAUUUGGACAUUAUUUGUGAAGUUGUUAUCGGUGCUUGAUGUGAUUAAUUAUGUGCUAACAUGAUUUAGCUGUUAACAGGGGGAGCACUCGAAGCCUAAUGCUUUUGAAAUUUUAUGUUUUCCUUUGAAAAUGAUUUUCACUAGAGUUGAGCUUUAAGAUUUGAAAGUAUUGUUUUAGCAAGUUUUUUAAUGGAAAUGAAUUUGAAUAUCUUGAAUCCAAUGUCUUAAACUUGUUCCAACAAAGAAACAUGGUAAAGCUUGCAUUGGUUUUAAUUUUUCACAAAGUUAAGUGCAAGUUAUAAAGGAUUUUAUAGCUUGAAACAUCAGACAUUGUUAGUGAACAAUUCUGAGCGUAAAAACCAUUUGCACAAUUAUUGUACGAUUUUAAUUUUUCGUUGUGUUUAAUACUUAUUUGCUUUUAGAUAAAUUUUUGGUGCUCUAAGAAUGUUUAGGAAUUACAUAUGAAUGAUCUUCAUUUUGGAUAUUAUUUGUGAAGUUGUUAUUGGUGGUUGAUGUGAUUAAUUAUGUGCCAAAAUGUUUUAGCUGUUUAUAGGGGGAGCACACGAAGCCUAAUGCUUUUCAAAUUUUAUGCUUUGCCUUGAAAAUGAUUUUUACUAGAGCUAAGCUUUAAAAUAUGAAAUCAUUGUUUUAGCAGGUUUUUAAAUGGAAAUGAAUUUGAAUAUCUUGAAUCCAAUGUUUUCAACUUGCUCAAACAAAGAAACAUGGUAAAACUUGCAUUGGUUUUAAUUUUUCACAAUGUUAAGUGUAAGUUAUAAAGGAUUUUAUAGCUUAAAACAUCAGACAUUGUUAAUGAACAAUUCUAGACGUAAAAACCAUUCGCACAAUUAUUACACGAUUUUAAUUUUUCAUUGUCUUUCAUAUUUGCUUUUAGAUACAUUUUUGGUGCUCUAAGGAUGUUGGGGAAUUACAUAUGAAUGAUCUUCAUAUUUGGAUAUUAUUUGUGAAGUUGUUAUUGGUGCUUGAUGUGAUUAAUUAUGUGCCAAAUUGUUUUAGCAGUUUACAGGGGGAGCACACGACGCCUAAUGCUUUUCGAAUUUUAUGCUUUGCUUUGAAAAUGAUUUUCACUAGAGCUAAGCUUUAAAAUAUGAAAUCAUUGUUUUAGCAGCUUUUUAAACGGAAAUGAAUUUGAAUAUCUUGAAUCCAAUGUUUUAAACUUGCUCAAACAAAGAAACAUGGUAAAACUUGCAUUGGUUUCAAUUUUUCUUAAUGUUAAGUGUAAGUUAUUUUUGAGCUUAAAACAUCAGACUUUCUUUAUGAACAAUUCUGGCCGUAAAAACCAUUCGCACAAUUAUUGCACGAUUUUAAUUUUUCGUUGUGUUUCAUACUUAUUUACUUUUAGAUACAUUUUUAGGUGCUCUAAGGACGUUGAGGAAUUACGUAUGAAUAAUCUUCGUAGUUGGAUAUUAUUUGUGAAGUUGUUAUUGGUGCUUGAUGUGAUUAAUUUAUGUGUUAAAUUGUUUUAAAAGUUUAUAUGGGGAGAACCCAAAGACUAAUGCUUUUUAAAUUUUAUGUUUUGCUUUGAAAAUGAUUUUCACCGGUAUAAAGCUUUAAAAUAUGAAAGCAUUGCUUUAGCAGGUUUUUAAAUGGAAAUGAAUUUGAAUAUCUUGAAUCCAAUGUUUUAAAUUUACUCAAACAAAGAAACAUGGUAAAACUUGCGUUGGUUUUAAUUUUUCAUAAUGUUAAGUGUAAGUUACAAAUUAUUUUAGAGCUUAAAACAUCAUAAUUUGUUUCUGAACAAUUCUAAAUGUAAAAACAAUUCGCACAAUUAUUACACGAUUUUAAUUUUCCAUUGUGUUUCAUACUUAUUUACUUUUAGAAACAUUUUUAUGUGCUCUACGGUUGUUGAGGAAUUACAUAAUAAUAAUCUUCAUAUUUGGAUAUUAUUUGUGAAGUUGUUAUUGGUGCUUAAUGUGAUUAAUUAUCGGCUAAGUUGUUUGAGAAGUUUAUAUGGGGAGGACUCAAAGCCUAAUGCUUUUGAAAUUUUAUGUUUUGCUUUGAAAAAGAUUUUCUCUGGUAUAAAGCUUCAAAAUAUGAAGGCUUUGUUUUAGCAGGUUUUUAAAUGUAAAUGAAUUGGAAUAUCUUAAAUCCAAUGUUUUAAACUUGCUCAAACAAUGAAACAUGGUAAAACUUGCAUUGGUUUUACUUUUUCAUAAUGUUAAGCGUAGGUUAUAAAGGAAUUUGGAGCUUAAAACAUCAGACCUUGUUUCUAAACAAUUUUGGGCGUAAAAACAAUCCGCACAAUUAUUGCAUGAUUUUAAUUUUUCGUUGUGUUUCAUACUUAUUUGCUUUUAGAUACAUUUUUAGGUGAACUAGGGUUGUUGAGGAAUUACAUAUGAAUAAUCAUCAUAUUUGGAUAUUAUUUGUGAAGUUUUUAUUGGUGCUUGAUGUGAUUAAUUAUAUGCUAUAUUGUUUUAGAAGUUUAUAUGGGUAAGACUUGAAGCCUAAUGCUUUUGAAAUUUUAUGUUUUGCUUUGAAAAUGAUUUUUGCUCGAGUUGACUUUAAAAUUUGAAAGCAUUGUUUUAGCAACUUUUUAAAUGGAAAUGAAUUUCAAACAAAGAAACAUGGUAAAACUUGCAUUGGUUUUAAUUUUCACAAUGUUAAGUGUAGGUUAUAAAGGAUUUUAUAGCUUAAAAUAUCAGACAUAGUUUUUGAACAAUUGCGGGCAUAAAAGCCAUUCGCGCAAUUUCAAAUUGUGACAUAAGAACCUUUUUUGCACGAUUUUAAUUCUUUCUUGUAUUUCAUACUUAUUUGCUUUUAGAUACAUUUUUAGCUGCUCUAAGGAACUUGAGGGAUUACAUAAGAAUGAUAUUGAUAUUUGGAUAUUAUUUGUGAAGUUUUUGUUGGUGCUUGAUGUGAUUAAUUGUGUGCUAACUUGUUUUAGCAGUUUAUAAGGGAAGUGCUCGAAGGAUAAUUUUUUGGAAAUUUCAUGUUUUGCUUUAAAAGUAAUUUUCACUAGAGUUAAGCUUUAAAAUAUGAAAGCAUUAUUUUGCCAGGUUUGAAAUGGAAAUGAAUUUGAAUAUCUUAAAUCAAAUGUGUUAAGCAUGCUCAAACAAAGAAACAUUAUAAAACUUGCAUUGGUUUUAAUUUUUCACAGCGUUAAGUGUAAGUUAUAAAAAAUUUUAGAGCUUAAAACAUCAGACUUUAUUUUUGAACAUAUCUGGUCUAAAAACCAUUCGCACAAUUUCAAAUUGUGACUUAAAAACCAUUUUUGCAUGAUUUUAAUUUAUCAUUGCGUUUCAUACUUAUUGCUUUUAGAUACGUUUUUAGGUGCUCUAAGGAACUUGUGGGAUUACUUAUGAAGGAUCUUGAUAUUUGGAUACUUGUUGUGAUUAAUUGUGUGCUAAAUUGUUUUAGCACAUUAUAAGUGAAGCACUCGAAGCCUAAUGCCUUUGAAAUUUUAUGUUUUGUUUUCAAAAUGAUUUUCACUAGAGUAAAGCUUUAAAAUAAGAAAGCAUUGUUUUAGCAGGUUUUUAAAUGUAAAUGAAUUUGAAAAUCUUGAAUCCAAUGUUUUUUUAAAUUUGGUCAAACAAAGAAACAAGUAAAACUUGCAUUAGUUUUAAUUUUUCAUAGUGUUAAGUGUAAGUUAUAAAGGAUUUUGGAGCCUAAAACAUCAGACUUUGUUUCUGAACAAUUUUGGGCAUAAAAAUCGUUUGCACAAUUAUUGCGCGAUUUUAAUUUUUUGUUGUUUUUCAUACUUAUUUGCUUUUAAAUACAUUUUUAGGCCCUCUAAGGAAAUUGAGGAAUUACAUAUGAAUCAUCUUCACAUUUAGAUAUUAUUUGUUAAGUUCUUAUUGUUGCUUGAUGUGAUUAAUUGUGUGCCAAAUUUUUUAGCAGUUUAUAAGCGUAGCACUCGAAGCCUAAUGUUUUUAAAAUUUUAUGUUUUGCUUUGAAAAUGAUUUUCAAUUGAGUCAAGCUUUAAAAAAUUAUAGCAUUGUUUUAGCAGGUUUUUAAAUGGAAAUGAAUUUGAAUAUCUUGAUUCCAAUGUUUUCAACUUGCUCAAACAAAGAAACAUGGCAAAACUUGCAUUGGUUUUAAUUUUUUAUAAUGUUAAGUGUAAGUUAUAAAGUAUUUUGGAGCUUAAAACAUCAGGCUUUGUUUCUGAACAACGCUGGGCUUAAAAACCAUUCGCACAAUUAUUGCAUGAUUUUAAUUUUUCGUUGUGUUUCAUACUUAUUUGCUUUUAGAUACAUUUUCAGGUGCUCUAAGGAUAUUGAGGAAUUACAUAUGAAUGAUCUUCAUAUUUGGAUAUUAUUUGUGAAGUUUUUAUUGGUGCUUGAUCUGAUUAAUCAUGUGCUAAAUUGUUUUAGAGGUUUAUAUGGGGAGAAUCCAAAGCCUAAUGGUUUUGAAAUUUUAUGUUUUGCUUUGAAAAUGAUUUUCAUUGGCAUCAAGCUUUAAAAUAUGAAAGCAUUGUUUUAGCGGGUUUUUAAAUAGAAAUGAAUUUGAAUAUCUUGAAUCCAAUGUUUUAAACUUGCUCAAACAAGGAAACAUGGUAAAACUUGCAUUGGUUUUAACUUUUGAUAAUGUUAAGUGUAAGUUAUGAAGGUUUUUCGAGCUUAAAACAUCAAACUUUCUUUCUAAACAAUCUUGGGAGUAAAAACAAUUCGCACAAUUAUUGCACGAUUUUAAUUUUUCGUUGUGCUUUCAUACAUUUUUAGGUGCUCUAAGGAUGUUGUGGAAUUACAUAUGAAUAAUCUUCAUAUUUAGAUAUUAUUUAUGAAAUUGUUAUUGGUGCUUCAUGUGAUUAAUUGUGUGCUAAAUUGUUUUCGUAGUUUAUAUGGGGAGGACUCGAAGCCUAAUGUUUUUGAAAUUUUAUGUUUUGCUUUGAAAAAUAUUUUCACUGGUAUAAAGCUUUAAAAUGUGAAAGCAUUGUUUUAGCAAGCUUUUAAAUGGAAAUGAAUUGGAAUAUCUUGAAUCUAAUGUUAACUUGCUCAAACAAAGAAACAUGGUAAAACUUGCAUUGAUUUUAAUUUUUCAUAAUGUUAAGUGUAAGUUAUAAAGGAUUUUGGAGCUUAAAACAUCAUACUUUUUUUCUAAAUAUGGGUGUAAAAAGAUUUGGCACAAUUAUUGCACGAUUUUUAAUUUUUCAUUGUGUUACAUACUUAUUUGCUUUCAGAUACAUUUUUAGGUGCUAUAAGGAUGUUGGGGAAUUACAUAUGAAUCAUCUUCAUAUUUGGAUAUUAUUUUUGAAAUUGUUAUUGGUGCUUAAUGUAAUUAAUUAUGUGCUAAAUAGUUUUAAAAGUUUAUAUGGGGAGGACUUGAAGCCUAAUGCUUUUGAAAUUUUAUGUUUUGCUUUGAAAAUGAUUUUCACUGGUAUAAAGCUUUAAAAUAUGAAGGCUUUGUUUUAGCAGGUUUUUAAAUGUAAAUGAAUUGGAAUUUCUUGAAUCCAAUGUUUUAAACUAGCUCAAACAAAGAAACAUGGUAAAACGUGCAUUGGUUUUGCUUUUUCAUAAUGUUAAGUGUAAGUUAUAAAGGAUUUUGAAGCUUAAAACAUUAGACUUUGUUUCUAAACAAUUCUGGGGGUAAAAACAAUUCACACAAUUAUUGCACGAUUUUAAUUUUUCGUUGUGUUUCAUACUUAUUUGCUUUUAGAUACAUUUUUAGGUGCUCUAAGGAUGUUGAGGAAUUACAUAUGGAUUAUCUUCAUAUUUGGAUAUUACUUGUGAACUUGUUAUUGGUGCUUGAUGUGAUUAAUUAUAUGAUAAAUUGUUUUAGAAGUUUAUAUGGGUAAGACUCGAAGCCUAAUACUUUUGAAAUUUUAUGUUUUGCUUUGAAAAUGAUUUUCGCUAGAGUUGAGCUUUAAAUUUUGAAAGCAUUAUUUUAGCAAGUUUUUAAAUGGAAAUGAAUUUGAAUAUCUUGAAUCCAAUGUCUUAAACUUGUUCAAACAAAUAAACAUGGUAAAACUUGCAUUGGUUUCAAUUUUUCACAAUGUUAAGUGUAAGUUAUAAAGGAUUUUAUAGCUUAAAACUUUAGACAUAGUUUUUGAACAAUUCUGGGCAUAAAAGCCAUUCGCAUGAUCUUGAUAGUUUUUGCAUGAUUUUAAUAUUUUCUUGUAUUUCAUACUAAUUUGCUUUUAGACACAUUUUUAGGUGCUGUAAGGAACUUGUGAGAUUACAUAAGAAUGAUCUUGAUAUUUGGAUAUUAUUUGUGAAGUUGUUAUUAGUGCUUGAUGUGAUUAGCAGUGUAUAAGGGAAGUGCUCAAAGGAUCAUUUUUUGGAAAUUUUAUAUUUUGCUUUAAAAAUAAUUUUCGCUUGAGUCCAACUUUAAAAUAUGAAAGCAUUAUUUUACCGGGUUUGAAAUGGAAAUAAAUUUGAAUAUCUUGAAUCAAACAUGUUAAACAUGCUAAAACAAAGAAACAUGGUAAAACUUGCGUUGGUUUUAAUUUUUCACAGCGUUAAGUGUAAGUUAUAAAGAAUUUUGGAGCAUAAAACAUCAAACUUUUUUUUGAACAAAUCUUGCAUAAAACCAUUCGCACAAUUUCAAAUUGUGACUUAAAAACCAUUUUUGCAUGAUUUUAAUUUAUCAUUGCAUUUUAUACUUAUUUGCUUUUAGAUACAUUUUAGGUGCUCUAAGGAACAUGUGGGAUUACUUAUGAAGGAUCUUGACAUUUGGAUACUUGUUGUGAUUAAUUGUGUGCUAAAUUGUUUUAGCAGUUUAUAAGAGGAGCGCUCGAAGCCUAAUGCUUUUGAAAUUUUAUGUUUUGCUUUGAAAAUGAUUUCCACUGAAGUAAAGCUUUAAAAUAAGAAAGUAUUGUUUUAGCAGGUUUUUAAAUGCAAAUGAAUUUGAAAAUCUUGAAUCUAAUGCUUUUUUAAACUUGGUCAAACAAAGAAACAUAUAAAACUUGCAUUAGCAGUAAUUUUUCGUAGUGUUAAGUGUAAGUUAUAAAGGAUUUUUGAGCUUAAAACAUUAGACUUUAUUUCCGAACAAUUUUGGGCAUAAAAAUGGUUCACACAAUUGUUACACGAUUUUGAUUUUUCAUUGUGUUUCAUUCUUAUUUUCUUUUAGAUACAAUUUUAGGCGCUCUAAGGAAGUUCAGGAAUUACAUAUGAACGAUCUUCAUAUUUGAAUAUUAUUUGUUAAGUUGUUAUUGGUGCUUGGUAUGAUUAAUUGUGUCCCAAAUUUUUUAGCAGUUUAUAAGUGGAGCACUCGAAGUCUAAUGCUUUUGAAUUUUAUGUUUUGCUUUGAAAAUGAUUUUCACUGUAUUUAACCUUUAAAAUAUUAAAGCAUUUUUUUAGCAGGAUUUUAAAUGGAAAUGAAUUUGAAUAUCUUGAAUCCAAUGUUUUCAACUUUCUCAAACAAAGAAACAUGUAAAACUUGCACUGGUUUUAAUUUUUUAUAGUGUUAAGUGUAAGUUAUAAAGGAUUUUGUAGCUUAAAACAUCAAACUUUGUUUAUGAACAAUUUUGGGCGUAAAAACAAUUCGCACAAUUAUUGCACGAUUUUAAUUUUUUGUUGUGUUUCAUACUUAUUUGCUUUUAGAUACAUUUUUAGGUGCUCUAAGGAUGUUCAGGAAUUACAUAUGAAUAAUCUUCAUAUUUGGAUAUUAUUUGUGAAGUUGUUAUUGGUUCUUGAUAUGAUUAAUUAGGUGCUAAAUUGUUUUAGAGGUUUAUAUGGGGAGGACUCGAAGCCUAAUGCUUUUGAAAUUUUGUGUUUUGCUUUGAAAAUUAUUUUCACUGGUAUCAAGCUUUAAAAUAUGAAAGCAUUUUUUUAGUAGGUUUUUAAAUGGAAAUGAAUUUUAAUAUCUUGAAUCUAAUGUUUUAAACUUGCUCAAACAAAGAAACAUGGUAAAACUUGCAUUGGUUUUUAUUUUUCAUAAUGUUAAGUGUAAGUUAUAAAGGAUUUUCGAGCUUAAAACAUCAGACUUUGUUUCUGAACAAUUUUGGACGUAAAAAUCAUUCGCACAAUUAUUGCACGAUUUUAAUUUUUCGUCGUCUUUCAUACUUAUUGCUUUUAGAUACAUUUUUGGGUGCCAUAAGGAUGUUGAGGAAUUACAUAUGAAUGAUUUUCAUAUUUGGAUAUUAUUUGUGAAGUUGUUAUUGGUGCUUGAUAUGAUUAAUUAUGUACUAAAUUGUUUUAGCAGUUUAUAAGGAGAGCACUCAAAGCCUGGAGUUAAGCUUUAUGUACUAAAUUGGUGCUUUUGAAAUUUUAUGUUUUGCUUUAAAAAUGAUUUUCACUGGAGUUAAGCUUUAAAAUAUGAAAUUAUUGUUUUACCUCGUUUUUAAUUGGAAAUAAAUUUGAAUAUCUUGAAUCCAAUGUUUUCAACAUGCUCAAACAAAGAAAUAUGGUAAAACUUGCAAUGGUUUUAAUUUUUCAUAAUGUUAAGCGUAUGUUAUAAAAGAUUUUGGAGCAUAAAACAUUAGGCUUUGUUUCUGAACAACUUAGGGCUUAAAAACAAUUCGCACAAUUAUUGCACGAUUUUAAUUUUUCAUUGUGUUUCAUACUUAUUUGCUUUUAGAUACAUUUUUACGUGCUCUAACGAUGUUGAGGAAUUACAUAUGAAUGAUCUUCAUAUUUGGAUAUUAUUUGUGAAGUUGUUAUUGGUGCUUGAUGUGAUUAAAUAUGUGCUAAAUUAUUUUAGUAGUUUAUAAGGGGAGCACUCGAAGCCUAAUGCUUUUGAAAUUUAAUGUUUUGCUUUAAAAAUGAUUUUCACUGGAGUUAAGCUUUAAAAUAUGAAAUCAUUGUUUUAGCAGGUUUUUAAUUGGAAAUGAAUUUGAAUAUCUUGAAUCCAAUGUUUUCAACUUGCUCAAAUAAAAAAACAUGGUAAAACUUGCAUUGGUUUUAACUUUUCAUAAUGUUAAGUGUAAGUUAUAAAAGAUUUUGGAGCCUAAAACAUCAGACUUCAUUUAUGAACAAUUCUGGGCGUAAAAACCAUUCGCACAAUUGUUGCACGACUUUAAUUUUUCGUUUUGUUUCAUACUUAUUUUCUUUUUAACACAUUUUUAAGUGCUCAAAGGAUGUUCAGGAAUUACGUAUGAAUGAUCUUCAUAAUUGGAUAUUAUUUGUGAAGUUGUUAUUAGUGCUUGAUAUGAUUAAUUAUGUGCUAAAUUGUUUUAUAAGGUUAUAUGGGGAGGACUCGAAGCCUAAUGGUUUUGAAAUUUUAUGUUUUGCUUUAAAGAUGAUUUUCACUGGUGUAAAGCUUUAAAAUAUGAAAGCAUUGUUUUCGCAGAUUUUUAAGUGGAAAUGAAUUUGAAUAUCUUGAAUCCAAUAUUUUAAACUUGCUCAAACAAGGAAACAUGGGAAAAUUUGCAUUGGUUUUAAUUUUUCAUAAUGUUAAGUGUAAGUUAUAAAAGAAUUUGGAGAUUAAAACAUCAAGCUUUGUUUAUGAACAAUUCUGGGCAUAAAACUCAUUCGCACAAUUAAUGCACGAUUUUAAUUUUUGUUGUGUUUCAUACUUAUUUUCUUUUAGAUACAUUUUUAGGUGCUCGAAGGGUGUUGAGGAAUUACAUAUGAUUGAUAUUCAUAUUUGGAUAUUAUUUGUGAAGUUGUUAUUAGUGUUUGAUGUGAUUAAUUAUGUGCUAAAUUGUUUUAUAAGUUUAUAUCGGGAGGACUCGAAGCCUAAUGGUUUUGAAAUUUUAUGUUUUGCUUUAAAAAUGAUUUUCACUGGUGUAAAGCUUUAAAAUAAGAAAGCAUUGUUUUCACAGAUUUUUAAGUGAAAAUGAAGUUGAAUAUCUUGAAUCCAAUAUUUUAAACUUGCUCAAACUAAGAAACAUGGGAAAUUUUGCAUUGGUUUUUAAUUUUUCAUAAUGUUAAGUGUAAGUUGUAAAAGAUUUUGGAGCUUAAAACAUCAAACUUUGUUUAUGAACAAUUCUGGGCAUAAAACACAUUCGCACAAUUAUUGCACGAUUUUAAUUUUUCGUUGUGUUUCACACUUAUUUUCUCUUAGAUACAUUUUUAGGUGCUCGAAGGAUGUUGAGGAAUUACAUAUGAAUGAUCUUCAUAUUUGGAUAUUAUUUGUGAAGUUGUUAUUGCUGUUUGAUGUGAUUAAUUAUGUGCAAAAUUGUUUUGUAAGUUUAUAUCGGGAGGACUCGAAGACUAAUAUUUUUGAAAUUUCAUGUUUUGCUUUGAAAAUGAUUUUCACUGGUAUCAAGCUUUAAAAUAUGAAAGCAUUGUUUUAGCAGGUUUUUAAAUGGAAAUGAAUUUGAAUAUCUUGAAUCCAAUAUUUUAAACUUGCUCAAACAAAAAAAAAUGGUAAAACUUGCAUUAGUUUUAAUUUUUCAUAAUGUUAAGUGUAAGUUAUAAAGGAUUUUCGAGCUUAAAACAUCAGACUUUGUUUCUCAACAAUUUUGGACAUAAAAACCAUUCGCACAAUUGUUGCACGAUUUUAAUUUUUCGUUGUGUUUCAUACUUAUUUGCUUUUAGAUACAAUUUUAGGUGCUAUAAGGAUGUUGAGGAAUUACAUAUGAAUGAUCUUCAUAUUUGGAUAUUAUUUGUGAAGUUGUUAUUGGUGUUUGAUGUGAUUAAUUAUGUGCUAAAGUGUUUUAGCAGUAUAUAAGUGGAGCGCUCGAAGACUAAUGCUUUCAAAAUUUUAUGUUUUGCUUUGAAAAUGAUUUUCACUGGAGUUAAGCUUUAAAAAUAUGAAAUCAUUGUUUUAGCAGGUUUUUAAUUGGAAAUGAAUUUGAAUAUCUUGAAUCCAAUGUUUUCAACUUGCUCAAACAAAGAAACAUGGUAAAACUUGCAUUGAUUUUAACUUUUCAUAAUGUUAAGUGUAAGUUAUAAAGGAUUUUGGAGCCUAAAACAUCAGACGUUGUUUAUGAACAAUUUUGGGCGUAAAAACCAUUCGCACAAUUGUUGCACGAUUUUAAUUUUUCGUUGUGUUUCAUACUUAUUUUCUUUUAGACACAUUUUUAAGUGCUCAAAGAAUGUUCAGGAAUUACAUAUGAUUGAUCUUUAUAUUUGGAUAUUAUUUGUGAAGUUUUUAUUGGUGUUUGAUGUGAUUAAUUAUGUGCAAAAUUGUUUUAUAAGUUUAUAUGGGGAGGACUCGAAGACUAAUAUUUUUGAAAUUUCAUGUUUUGCUUUGAAAAUGAUUUUCACUGGUAUCAAGCUUUAAAAUAUGAAAGCAUUGUUUUAGCAGGUUUUUAAAUAGAAAUGAGUUUUAAUAUCUUGAAUCCAAUAUUUUAAACUUGCUCAAACAAAAAAAAAAUGGUAAAACUUGCAUUGGUUUUAAUUUUUCAUAAUGUUAAUUGUAAGUUAAAAAGGAUUUUGGAACUUAAAACAUCAGGCUUUGUUUCUAGACAACUUAGGGGUUAAAAAUCAUUCGGACAAUUAUUGCACGAUUUUAAUUUUUCGUUGUGUUUCAUGCUUAUUUGCUUUUAGAUACAUUUUUACGUGCUUUAAGGAUGUUGAGGAAUUACAUAUGAAUGAUCUUCAUAUUUGGAUAUUAUUUGUGAAGUUGUUAUUGGUGCUUGAUGUGAUUAAUUGUUGCUAAAUUGUUUUAGCAGUUUAUAAGUGGAGCGCUUGAAGACUAAUGUUUUUGAAAUUUUAUGUUUUGCUUUGAAAAUGAUUUUCACUGCAGUUAAGCUUUAAAAUAUGAAAUCAUUGUUUUAGCAGGUUUUUAAUUGGAAAUGAAUUUGAAUAUCUUGAAUCCAAUGUUUUCAACUUGCUCAAACAAAGAAACAUGGUAAAACUUGAAUUGGUUUUAACUUCUCAUAAUGUUAAGUGUAAGUUAUAAAAGAUUUUGGAGCCUAAAGCAUCAGACUUUGUUUAUGAACAAUUCUGGGCAUAAAAACCAUUCGCACAAUUGUUGUACGAUUUUAAUUUUUCGUUGUGUUUCAUACUUAUUUGCUUUUAGAUACAUUUUUAGGUCCUCUAAGGAUGUUGAGGAAUUACAUAUGAAUAAUGUGCAUAUUUGGAUAUUAUUUGUGAAGUUGUUAUUAGUGCUUGAUAUGAUUAAUUAUGUGCUAAAUUGUUUUAUAAGGUUAUAUGGGGAGGGCUCGAAGCCUAAUAGUUUUGAAAUUCUAUGUUUUGCUUUGAAAAUGAGUUUUAGGUGCUCUAAGGAACUUGUGGUAUUACAUAAGAAUGAUCUUGAUAUUUGGAUAUUAUUUGUGAAGUUGUUAUUGGUGGUUGAUGUGAUUAAUUAUGUGCUAACUUGUUUUAGCAGUUUAUAAGGGAAGUGCUCGAAAGAUAAUUUUUUGGAAAUUUUAUGUUUUGUUUUAAAAAUAAUUUUCACUUGAGUCCAGUUUUAAAAUAUGAAAGCAUUAUUUUGCCAGGUUUGAAAUGGAAAUGAACUUGAAUAUCUUGAAUCAAAUGUGUUAAACAUGCUCAAACAAAGAAACAUGUUAAAACUUGCGUUGGCUUUAAUUUUUCACAGCGUUAACUGUAAGUUAUAAAGAAUUUUGGAGCAUAAAACAUCAGAUUUUGUUUUUGAACAAAUCUGGCAUAAAAACCAUUUGCAUAAUUUCAAAUCAUUUUUGCAUGAUUUUAAUUUAUCAUUGCGUUUCAUAGUUAUUUGCUUUUAGAUACAGUUUUAGGUGCUCUAAGGAACUUAUGGGAUUACUUAUGAAGCAUCUUGAUAUUUGGAUACUUGCUGUGAUUAAUUGUAUGCUAAAUUGUUUUAGCAGUUUAUAAGAGCAGCACUCGAAGCCUAAUUCUUUUGAAAUUUUACGUUUUUCUUUGAAAAUUAUUUUCACUAGAGUAAAGCUUUAAAGUAAAAACGCAUUAUUUUAGCAGGUUUUUAAAUGCAAAUGAAUUUGAAAAUCUUGAAUCCAAUAUUUUUUUAAACUUGGUCAAACAAAGAAACAUAUAAACCAUGCAUUAGUUUUAAUUUUUCAUAGUGUUAAGUAUAAGUUAUAAAGGAUUUUGGAGCUUAAAACAUCAGACCUUGUUUCUGAAUAAUUUUGGGCAUAAAAAUCAUUCGCACAAUUAUUGCAAGAUUUUAAUUUUUCAUUGUGUAUCAUACUUAUUUUCUUUUAGAUACAUUUUUAGGUGCUGUAAGGAAGUUGAAGAAUUACAUAUUAAUGAUCUUCAUAUUUGGAUAUUAUUUGCUAAUUUGUUAUUGGUGCUUGAUGUGAUUAAUUUUGUGCCAAAUUGUUUAUCAGUUUAUAAGUGGAGCACUCGAAGCUUAAUGCUUUUGAAAUUUUAUGUUUUGCUUUGAAAAUGAUUUUCACUGGAGUCAAGCUUUAAAAUAUUAAAGCAUUGUUUUAGCAGGUUUUUAAAUGAAAAUGAAUUUGAUUAUCUUGAAUCCAAUGUUUUAAACUUGCUUAAACAAAAAAACAUGGUAAAACUUGCAUUAGUUUUAAAUUUUCAUAAUGUUAACUGUAAGUUAUAAAGGAUUUUAGAGUUUAAAACAUUAAACUUUGUUUAUUAACAAUUCUGGGCGUAAAAAGCAUUCGCACAAUUAUUGCACGAUUUUAAUUUUUCGUUGUGUUGCAUUACCUAUUUGCUUUUAGAUACAUUUCUAGGUGCUCUAAGGAAGUUAAGGAAUUACAUAGGAAUAAUCUUCAUAUUUGGUUAUUAUUUGUGAAGUUGUUAUUGGUGCUUGAUUUGAUUAAUUAUGUGCUAAAUCGUUUUAGAAGUUUAUAUGGGGAGACUCGAACCCUAAUGCUUUUGAAAUUUUAUGUUUUGCUUUGAAAAUGAUUUUCACUGGUAUAAAGUUUUAAAAUAUGAAAGCAUUGUUUUAGCAGAUUUUUAAAUGAAAAUGAAAUUGAAUAUCUUGAUUCCAAUGUUUUAAACUUACUCAAAAAAAGAAACAUGGUAAAACUUGCACUGGUUUUAAUUUUUCAUACUGUUAAGUGUAAGUUAUAAAGUAUUUUGGAGCUUAAAACAUCAGGCUUUGUUUCUAACCAACUCUGUGCUUAAAAGCCAUUCGCACAAUUAUUGCACGAUUUUAAUUUUUCAUUGCGUUUCAUACUUAUUUGCUUUUAGAUACAAUUUUAGGUGCUUGAGGGAUGUUGAGGAAUUACUUAUGAAUGAUCUUCAUAUUUGGAUAUUAUUUGUGAAGUUGUUAUUGGUGUUUGAUGUGAUUAAUUAUGUGCUAAAUUGUUUUAGCAGUUUAUGAGUGAAGCACUCGAAGCUUAAUACUUUUUAAAUUUUAUGUUUUGCUUUGAAAAUGAUUUUCACUGGUAUAAAGCUUUAAAAUAUGAAAGUAUUGUUUUAGCAGAUUUUUAAAUUGAAAUGAAUUUGAAUAUCUUGAAUCCAAUGUUUUAAACUUGUUCAAACAAAGAAACAUGGUAAAACUUGCAUUGGUUUUAAUUUUCCGAAAUGUUAAGUGUAAGUUAUAAAGGAUUUUGGAGCUUAAAACAUCAGACUUUGUUUAUGAAGAAUGGGCAGAAAAACCAUUUGCACAAUUAUUGCACGAUUUGAAUUUUUCAUUGUGUUUCAUACUUAUUUGCUUUUAGAUACAUUUUUAGGUGCUCUAAGGAUGUUGAGGAAUUACAUAUGAAUAAUCUUUAUAUUUGGAUAUUAUUGUGAGUUGUUAUUGGUGCUUGAUGUGAUUAAUUGUCUGCUAAAUUGUAUUCAGCAGUUUAUAAGGGGAGCACUCGAACCUAAUGCUUUUCGAAAUUUUAUGUUUUGCUUUGAAAAUUAUUUUCACCGGUAUCAAGCUUUAAAAAUACGAAGGCAUUGUUUUAGCAGGUUUUUUAAAUGGUAAUGAUCUUGAAUAUCUUGAAUCCAAUGUUUUAAACUUGCUCAAACAAAGAAACAUGGCAAAACUUGCUUUGGUUUUAAUUUUUCACAGUGUUAAGUGUAUGUUAUAAAGGAUUUUGAGCUUAAACCAUCAUACUUUAUUUCUGAACAAUUAUGGGCUUAAAAACCAUUCUUUCAAUUAUUGCACGAUUUUAAUUUUUUGUUGUGUUUCAUACUUAUUUGCUUUUAGAUACUUUUUUAGGUGCUCUAAGGAUGUUGAGGAAUUACAUAUGAAUGAUUUUCAUAUUUUGAUAUUAUUUGUGAAGUUGUUAUUGGUGCUUGAUGUGAUUAAUUAUAUGCUAAAUUGUUUUAGCAGUUUAUAAGGAGAGCACUCGAACUCUAAUGCUUUUGAAAUUUUAUGUUUUCCUUUAAAAAUGAUUUUCACUGGUAUAAAGCUUGAAAAUAUGAAAGCAUUGUUUUAGCAGAUUUUUAAUUGGAAAUGAAUUUGAAUAUCUUGAAUCCAAUUUUUUAAACUUGUUCAAACAAAGAAACAUGGUAAAACUUGCAUUGGUUUUAAUUUUUCGUAAUGUUAACUGUAAGUUAUAAAGGAUUUUAGAGUUUAAAACAUUAAACUUUGUUUAUGAACAAUUCUGGGCAUAAAAACCAUUCGCACAAUUAUUGCACGAUUUUAAUUUUUCAGUGUGUUUCAUACUUAUUUGCUUUUAGAUACAUUUUUUGGUGCUCUAAGUAUGUUGAGGAAUUACAUAGGAAUAAUCUUCAUAUUUGGUUAUUAUUUGUCGAGUUGUUAUUGUGCUUGAUGUGAUUAAUUGUCUGCUAAAUUGUUUCAGCAGUUUUAUAAGGAGAGCACUCGAAACUAAUGCUUUUGAAAUUUUAUGUUUUGCUUGAAAAUGAUUUUCACCGGUAUCAAGCUUUAAAAUACGAAGGCAUUUGUUUAGCAGGUUUUUAAAUGCAAAUGAUCUUGAAUAUCUUGAAUCCAACGUUUUUAAACUUGCUCAAACAAAGAAACAUGGCAAAACUAACUUGCAUUGGUUUAAUUUUCACAGUGUUAAGCGUAUGUUAUAAAGGAUUUUGGAGCUUAAACCAUUAGACUUUGUUCUGAACAAUUAUGGCUUAAAAGCCAUUCGCACAAUAUAUUGCACGGUUUUUAAUUUUUUCGUUUAUUCAUGCUUAUUUGCUUUUAGAUACACUUUUAGGUGGCUCUAAGGACGCUGAGGAUUACGUAUUAAUGAUCUUUCAUAUUUGGAUAUUAUUUGUGAAGUUGUUAUUAGUUCUUGAUGUGAUUAAUUAUGUGCUAAAUUGUUUUAUAAGUUUAUAUGGGGAGGACUCGAAGCCUAAUGGUUUUGAAAUUUUAUGUUUUGCUUUGAAAAUGAUUUUCACUGGUAUCAAGCUUUAAAAUAUGAAUGCAUUGUUUUACCAGAUUUUUAAAUGGAAAUAAAUUUAAAUAUCUUGAAUCCAAUGUUUUAAACUUCCUCAAACAAAGAAACAUAGUAAAACGUCCAUUGUUUUUAAUUUUUCAAAAUGUUAAGUGCAAGUUAUAAAGGAUUUUGGAGCUCGAAACAUCAAACUUUAUUUAUGAACAAUUUUGGGCAUAAAAGUCUUUCGCACGGUUAUUGCACGAUUUUAAUUUUUCGUUGUGUUUCAUACUUAUUUUCUUUUAGAUACAUUUUUAGGCGCUCUAAGGGAGUUGAGGAAUUACAUAUGAACGAUCUUCAUAUUUGGAUAUUAUUUGUGGAGUUGUUAUUGGUGCCUGAUGUGAUUAAUUGUCUGCUAAAUUGUUUCAGCAGUUUUAUAAGGAGAGCACUCGAAACCUAAUGCUUUUGAAAUUUUAUGUUUUGCUCUGAAAAUGAUUUUCACUGGUAUCAAGCUUUAAAAUACGAAGGCAUUGUUUUAGCAGGUUUUUUAAAUGCAAAUGAUCUCGAAUAUCUUGAAUCCAAUGUUUUAAACUUGCUCAAACAAAGAAACAUGGCAAAACUUGCAUUGGUUUUAAUUUUUCAUAGUGUUAAGCGUAUGUUAUAAAGGAUUUUGGAGCUUAAACCAUUAGACUUUGUUUCUGAACAAUUAUGGGCUUAAAAGCCAUUCGCACAAUUAUUGCACGAUUUUUAUUUUUCGUUGUUAUUCAUGCUUAUUUGCUUUUAGAUACAUUUUUAGGUGCUCUAAGGAUGUUGAGGAAUUACGUAUUAAUGAUC
rnacentral:lncRNA from 1 species